UACGUAGGGUCCGAGCGUUGUCCGGAGUUACUGGGCGUAAAGCGCGCGCAGGCGGCUUCAUAAGUCUGGCGUGAAAGCCCCCGGCUCAACCGGGGAGGGUCGUCGGAGACUGUGGAGCUUGAGGGCGGUAGGGGCUGGUGGAAUUCCCGGUGUAGUGGUGAAAUGCGUAGAGAUCGGGAGGAACACCUGUGGCGAAGGCGGCCAGCUGGGCCGACCCUGACGCUGAGGCGCGAAGGCGUGGGGAGCGAACGGGAUUAGAUACCCCGGUAGUCCACGCAGUAAACGAUGCAGACUAGGCGUGGGGGGACUUGACCCCCUCCGUGCCGGAGCCAACGCGGUAAGUCUGCCGCCUGGGGAGUACGGCCGCAAGGCUAAA
rnacentral:rRNA from 1 species